rnacentral:rRNA from 1 species
AACGUUACCAAACNGUUGCCUCGGCGGGAUCUUCUGCCCCGGGUGCGUCGCAGCCCCGGACCAAGGCGCCCGCCGGAGGAAUCAACCAAAACUCUUAUUGUAUACCCCCUCGCGGGUUUUUUUUAUAAUCUGAGCCUUCUCGGCGCCUCUCGUAGGCGUUUCGAAAAUGAAUCAAAACUUUCAACAACGGAUCUCUUGGUUCUGGCAUCGAUGAAGAACGCAGCGAAAUGCGAUAAGUAAUGUGAAUUGCAGAAUUCAGUGAAUCAUCGAAUCUUUGAACGCACAUUGCGCCCGCCAGUAUUCUGGCGGGCAUGCCUGUCCGAGCGUCAUUUCAACCCUCGAACCCCUCCGGGGGGUCGGCGUUGGGGAUCGGCCUUCCUUCACGGGGGCCGUCUCCGAAAUACAGUGGCGGUCUCGCCGCAGCCUCUCCUGCGCAGUAGUUUGCACACUCGCAUCGGGAGCGCGGCGCGUCCACAGCCGUUAAACACCCAACUUUCUGAAAUGUUGACCUCGGAUCAGGUAGGAAUACCCGCUGAACUUA